UACGAAGGGUGCAAACGUUGCUCGGAAUUAUUGGGCGUAAAGCGCACGUAGGCGGUAUCGCAAGUCCCAUGUGAAAGCCCACGGCUUAACCGUGGAAGUGCAUGGGAAACUGGCGGGCUGGAGUAUGGCAGAGGGGGGUGGAAUUCCGCGUGUAGCAGUGAAAUGCGUAGAGAUGCGGAGGAACACCGAUGGCGAAGGCAGCCCCCUGGGCCAAUACUGACGCUCAGGCACGAAAGCGUGGGGAGCAAACAGG
rnacentral:rRNA from 1 species